rnacentral:rRNA from 1 species
CGGAGGAUCCAAGCGUUAUCCGGAAUCAUUGGGUUUAAAGGGUCCGUAGGCGGUCUUGUAAGUCGGUGGUGAAAGCCCAUCGCUCAACGGUGGAACGGCCAUUGAUACUGCAGGACUUGAAUUAUUAGGAAGUAACUAGAAUAUGUAGUGUAGCGGUGAAAUGCUUAGAUAUUACAUGGAAUACCAAUUGCGAAGGCAGGUUACUACUAAUUGAUUGACGCUGAUGGACGAAAGCGUGGGGAGCGAACAGGAUUAGAUACCCUGGUAGUCCACGCCGUAAACGAUGGAUACUAGCUGUUGGGGGCAACUUCAGUGGCUAAGCGAAAGUGAUAAGUAUCCCACCUGGGGAGUACGUUCGCAAGAAUG